AACAGCAUGAUCCACCCACCGUGAUCAGCCGAGGAAUUUGUCCCCUAGGCCUGGGCUUGCUCUUCGAUGCCUCAGCUCCGGAGCUGGUUUUUUUUCUGCAACCACAAUGUUUAGGGCUGGGUUAGUGUGGGUUUUGGCUAGCUCAGCCAGCUCCAUCCGUCAGGAUACGUGGAGAAGCCAUUUGCAUUGAGGAUGAAGCAGCUGAAUACAGAGUUGCGAGUCGGAUUCGCAGUACAUGUUUUGAAAUGUGGCAGUUGAAUCGAGGCGACGGGGAGUUUGGGUACAAUGUUGAGGCGCGAGGAAAGUGGUGGAGAGUUUGUGUGGACAGCCUGAAGGUGGAGCUUGUGGCAACACAUUGGAAGCGAUGGCAUCGGACCCAACCCUAUCUGGCUGGUCCAAUCAUUGAAACAGUCUGCUACCGAGUUGGAUUUUCAGCUGGCUGAAGGUGGCUGAAAGGUGCACAAGAGAACAGCCAUGGUUGAGUGAGCAUCUGGAAAGUAUCAAAUUCAUUUACAAGGAAUUUUGGACGGCGGUUUAUAAAAAGCAGGUCGACAACCUGAUAACAUACCAUAAGGGCAAUACCUGCACUUCCCUUGUGGUCUCAUUUGUGGUGCUUUGACCAACUUAGGUGCUUUCGUGGUCAGAAUCAAAGUGUAACAUGUCUUCGUCGCAAUGAUGUCAGAUAGCUGCCCAGGGUUUCGCUCAUCGGUGAAACAUUGUGCCGCAGUUUGACAGAUCCUCACAAAUUUCGUUAAGUCCUUACGAGACAUCAGUGCGGUUGAAGUGCUAAUUUAGACAAAGCAUAUGAUAAUAGUGAUGGCAUUCGUAUUUAUUGAAUUCAAAGUUUGAAUAAUGAAGCUUCCUGUUUCGUGUAAGUACAGAUUCUUUUGCCUA